rnacentral:rRNA from 1 species
GAUGAACGCUGGCGGCGUGCCUAAUACAUGCAAGUCGAGCGAAUGAUGAGGAGCUUGCUCCUCUGAUUUAGCGGCGGACGGGUGAGUAACACGUGGGUAACCUGCCUGUAAGAUGGGAAUAAAUCAGGGAAACCGGGGCUAAUACCGAAUAAUAAAAGAAGAAGCAUUUCUUCUUUUUGAAAGUUGGUUUAGGCUAACACUUACAGAUGGGCCCGCGGAGCAUUAGCUAGUUGGUGAGUUAACGGCUCACCAAGGCGACGAUGCGGAGCCGACCUGAGAGGGUGAUCGGCCACACUGGGACUGAGACACGGCCCAGACUCCUACGGGAGGCAGCAGUAGGGAAUCUUCGGCAAUGGGCGAAAGCCUGACCGAGCAACGCCGCGUGAGCGAGGAAGGCCUUCGGGUCGUAAAGCUCUGUUGUCAGGGAAGAACAAGUACGAGAGUAACUGCUCGUACCUUGACGGUACCUGACCAGAAAGCCACGGCUAACUACGUGCCAGCCGCCGCGGUAAGAC